AUAAGUUGGAAAUUACACUAUUAGGUGGAUGACUUGGCUUAAUCGUCGAUGAAGGGCGUGGCAAGCUACGAUAUGCCCCAGUUAGUUGCAAGCAAACUUUGACCUGGGGAUUCCUGAAUGUGACAUCACAAUAGGUCCGAAAGGACAGAGAACUCCGGGAAGUGAAACAUCUCAGUACCGGAAGGAAAAGAAAUCAAUUGAGAUGCUGUCAGUAAAGGCGAUUGAACACAGCACAGAGCAAACCGAAUCUGCUCAGUAAUGAGUAAGAAAUGUGGUGUUAGGAUUCUCUUUUAGUCCGAAAAUUUUUUUCUGAAGUUUUCUGGAAAGAAAUGCGAUACAGGGUGAUAGCCCCGUAAGGAAAAAAUUUGGAUGUGAGAAUAUCCAGAGUACUGCAUCUUGGAUACGAUGUGGGAACGCGGGAGGCAUUGACUUCUAACUCUAAAUACGUAUUAAGUCCGAUAGCAAACAAGUACAGCGAUGGAAAGUUUAAAAGAACCCUUAACAGGGAGUUAACAGAGCCUGAAACCUAAUAGUUAUCGCGUGAUAGGGUUUUAAGGAAUUCUAUCGUACGUUUUGAAUAACGGGCCAGGAAGUUAUUUCUUGUGGCGAGAGUAAUUCGAAAAGAAGUACUCGAAGCGAAAGCGAAAACUCGCAAGCAAUGAGGAGUUUCGUCAUAAUAGGCGAAAAGUCACAGGGAAUAGACCCGAAGCCGGGUGAUCUAAUCGUUAGUAAGGUGAAGCGAAGGUAAAACUUCGUGGAGGCCUGAAGAGGUAUUGUGUGCAAGCAUUUUUCUAACUGACGAUUAGGGGUGAAAAGCCAAUCGAACCCGGUUAUAGCUGGUUCCUAUCCAAGUUGGCCGCAGUCAAGUCUCGGAUGAGAUAGUUAAAUUGGUAGAGAUACGGAUUAGAGAUUUAGGACUCGAAAGAGUUCGGUUUUUUGUCCAACUCCGAAUAGUUUAACAUCGUAGAUUCCGGGAGACGGGGUGUCGGGGUAAGCUUGACAUCCGAGAGGGGAACAACCCAGACUGUAGUUAAGGUCCCAAAAUAUCAUUUAAGUGUGAACGGUACAAGAGUGUUCAUCUUCGAAGACAGUGAGGAGGUAGGCUCAGAAGCAGCCAUCCUUUAAAAAGUGCGUAACAGCUUACUUAUCAAGAAGGUGAGCCUUUAAAAUGGACGGGGCUAAAUUGAUUACCGAUACUACAGACAAUGGCAACAUUUGUGAUAGAUAGGCGUUGUGGCAGGGCAGAAGCAAGUUUGAAAAGACUCGUGGACCUGUCAUAAUUGAAGAUCCUGGCGGUAGUAGGAACAUAGUGCAGUUAGAGUCUGCACCACUGAAAGGGCAAGGGUUCCUUGGCAAUGUAAAUCAGCCAAGGGUUAGGCGAUCCUAAUUAAUAUCCUAACUGGAUUAUUAGAAAGGGAAACUGGUUAAUAUUCCAGUCCUGCUUAAAUAUGCGUGGCAACACAAGCAUUAUUUCUGACACUUUCGGCUAGACGGACACAAAUUGUUAUUUGUGUUAAUGAGAACAAAUCAAGGGAGUAUCGUAAUGAUGAGAACUUGAUUAAUUCCAGAACAGUAUUUCUUUGAAAUAUUCCGUUGAUGCCAUGAGUCCUUGAAAAGGAAAUAGUGAAAAAUUUUAGGUAUUCGUACCCAGAACCAACACUGGUGCCCCUAGGUGAGAAGCCUCAAGUGUGAGGGAUUAAAUUAGUUAAGGGAAUUCGGCAUAUUGGCCCCGUGCCUUCGGCAUAUGGGGUCCCUGCUUUUGUAUAUCGAAUUUAUUCUGUAUGCGAUAGCAGGGUGCAAUAACUACGACGGUCCGACUGUUUACCAAAAACGUAGAUUUGUGCUAAGCUGUAAAGCUUUGUAUACAAAUUGACAUCUGCCCAGUGCCUGUAUCCGAAACUCCGGUUCAACGGAGCUAACGACAGGUAAACGGCGGGAGUAACUAUAACUCUCUUAAGGUAGAAUAUUUCACUGCUUUAAGUCCCAAAAGAGUAAACAGAGAAAAAACAUGGGAUAAAAAUUUGGCUAUAUGCUGGAACAUCUGAGAAUCUCAGACUACUUUUCCACAGGACAAGUGCGCACAAAGCAUUUAAACUGCAGGAAAAGUAAAAACGUUAUGAGUGCAGAUAAUCAGCACGCAACCCUUAAGUUAGCUUGGCUUGCUGGAAUAAUUGAUGGAGAAGGAUCAUUAAUGAUUCCUCGAUACCAUCGAAAUGGAAAUAUUCGGUAUGGUUACAGAGUAAGUAUAUCUAACACGAAUAUGUUGAUAAUAAAUCAAUGUAGAGAAAUUUUAGAUAUACUGAAAAUAAAAUAUUGUAACUAUACGCAGGAUAGAGGAAACGAUGGGUUGAGAAGAAAAAUAACUCAUCAAGUCCACAUUACAAACAGAAAAGGAAUUUUGGUUUUUCUUGAAAAAAUCAUUCCUCAUCUCGUUGGUAAAAGAAAGCAAGCAGAACUCUUGAAUAAAUUUCUAAACAAUUGGGAAAGCAUAGACAAAAACGAUGCUUACUUAAUAUUUAGGAAAUUAAACGAGAGAGUACCAAGAUAACAAAAGGAGAGUCGUCAGAGACUAAACGCCAAACAUCGAAAAUGAUGAAGAUAUAGUCCGAACUUAUAUGCGAAUAUAAGAGACAAACAGAAAUGUUUGUACGUUUUCUAACACAAUCUCGACAAAGUCGAGCUGUGCCCAUUAAAAUGGGAAAGAAAAUUGUAACAGAUACGAGCGAAAUACCUUGUCGUUUGAAUGACGACGUGCAUGAAUGGUGGAACGAGAUCGUCACUGUCCCUAACUAACAUCCCCUGAAUACAGUAUUCUGGCGUAGAGGCCAGAGAAUUCCAGUGGGAAGCGAAGACCCCGUGAAACUUUACUGUAGCUUGUAGCUGUGGAGCGAGUUUUGUUGCAUAGCGUAAACGGUAGAGGUUAUGUGCAAGCCUUAGGGCUUGCAAUACUCGACAAUGUAACACCGUUCUUUAGAACUUGCCCCACUUACCUUGCAAAAGGAACAACUAUAGGUGGACAGUUUGGCUGGGGUGGCACACCGUUGAAAUGAUAUCGACGGUGCCCAAUGGUUAACUCAAUCGGGUCAGAAAUCCGAUGAAGAGUGCAAGAGCAAAAGUUAGCCUGAUUGAAUUUACAAUAACCCUAAAUUCAAACACGAAAGUGUGGUCUAGCGAUCCCCUGUACUUCCUUAAUGGGAGUCAGGUGUGACGGAAAAGUUACUCCGGGGAUAACAGAGUUGUCGCGCCCGAGAGUUCACAUCGACGGCGCGGCUUGCUACAUCGAUGUCGGCUCUUCCUAUCCUGGCCGUGCAGAAGCGGCCAAGGGUGGGGGUGUUCACCCAUUAAAAGGGAUCGUGAGCUGGGUUCACAACGUUAGUAACAUAGCGUUGCAUAUUCGUAAGAAUGUGAAUUCCAAUCUCGAAAGAGAUGAACCGUUUUAACUUCAUGUUAAAAUUUGGAAAUAAAAUUGGCUAAUAUCGGUGGAACCUAAAAUCUUUUUUUGAGCAGAAAAGAAAUGGCAAUACCGAGGGAAGUUUAUUUGAAAGAAUAUAACCCCGUAGAGACUGAGGAUUAAGUUCCGAGAAUGUUCUUGUUAGAACAUUAAGACGCCGAUCUCCUUCGCAAGAAGGAUGAUGAUAUAGUCCAUACCAAUCGAAAGAUUUGGAACAAUAUGUGUGAGACAGUUGGUUUGAUAUCUACUGGAAUUGUUUGAAAUCUGAGGGGAAGGGACUUCUAGUACGAGAGGAACGGAGUCCCGUGGCCUCUGGUCUAUCGGUUAUUCAACAGAGUAUGCCGAGCAGCUACGCCAUAAAGGAUAAAUUCUGAAAGCAUCUAAGAAUGAAGCCUUCCUCGAAAAGAGAUUUCGUAGAACGCGGAUAAAAUAUCCGGUUGAUUGAGUUGGUGUGUAAGUGCAAAGGCAACGAUGCAUUCAGCAUGCAACUACAAAGAGUUCGUAUUCCAACUAUG
rnacentral:rRNA from 1 species